rnacentral:rRNA from 1 species
CCUACGGGAGGCAGCAGUGGGGAAUAUUGCACAAUGGGCGCAAGCCUGAUGCAGCCAUGCCGCGUGUAUGAAGAAGGCCUUCGGGUUGUAAAGUACUUUCAGUCGUGAGGAAGGUGUUAAGGUUAAUAACCUUAGCAAUUGACGUUAGCGACAGAAGAAGCACCGGCUAACUCCGUGCCAGCAGCCGCGGUAAUACGGAGGGUGCGAGCGUUAAUCGGAAUUACUGGGCGUAAAGGGCACGCAGGCGGUUAAUUAAGUGGGUUGUAAAACCCCCGGGUUUACCUGGGGAAGGGCAGUAAAGAUGGGUGAGGGAGGGUAUUGGGGGGGGGGAGAGAUGUCCAGGUGGGGCGGGGAAAGGAGAAGGGAGGGGGAGAAAUACCGGUGGCGAGGGCGGCCCGCGGAAAAAAGACUGCCGCUCAGGUGCGAAAGGGGGGGGAGAAAACAGGAUAAGAUACCCCGGG